rnacentral:rRNA from 1 species
UACGUAGGGUGCGAGCGUUAAUCGGAAUUACUGGGCGUAAAGCGUGCGCAGGCGGUUACUUAAGUCGGGGGUGAAAUCUCGGGGCUUAACUCCGAAACUGCAUUCGAUACUGCCGUGCUUGAGGACUGGAGAGGAGACUGGAAUUUACGGUGUAGCGGUGAAAUGCGUAGAUAUCGUAAGGAAGACCAGUGGCGAAGGCGGGUCUCUGGACAGUUCCUGACGCUGAGGCACGAAGGUCAGGGGAGCAAACGGG